rnacentral:rRNA from 1 species
UACGGGGGGGGCAAGCGUUGUUCGGAAUUACUGGGCGUAAAGGGCUCGUAGGCGGCCAACUAAGUCAGACGUGAAAUCCCCAGGCUCAACCUGGGAACUGCGUCUGAUACUGGAUGGCUUGAAUCCGGGAGAGGGAUGCAGAAUUCCGGGUGUAGCGGUGAAAUGCGUAGAUAUCUGGAGGAAUACCGGUGGCGAAGGCGGCAUCCUGGACCGGCAUUGACGCUGAGGAGCGAAAGCGUGGGGAGCGAACAGG